CACCACCCACCGUGCCCUGGGCUGGGGCUGGGGCUGGGGCAGCCAGCCCGACACAAACAAACCCCCCAUGGUGGGAGCACAGGUGGGACUCCAGAACCUGCGCAGGGGCUGCUUUGCUUUGCCGGCAAGGAAGGGCUUGGGCUGCUCCACUGCCCUUGUUUGCUUUGGGAUCAUCCUUAUUUUGGGGGGCAGUGCAGGGGGGAAGGGAGAAAGCCUGGGCUUCCCUCACCUGUGAGUGGGUUUUUCCCUGGCAUGCAGGGGUUGGGCCUUCCUCAAGUUCCUGUCAGAGAUACGAUUUGUCUUGUGUUCUUGUUUCCCCUUUUUGUCUGUAGUCUAUUUUCAAUAAUUUGUUGUGUGUUUUUCUAGAGGAAACGUUCUAGGUGGGGUCCAGUCUGGAUGGGGAAGUGCUUGGGAGCAGCUGCGGCGUGGAUGGGCCGUACCCUUGGAGAAGGCUGAGGACAUCGUUUGGGACCAGCUUUUCUUCCAGCGGUGGAUGGCGUCAGCCAGGCUCUGCGGAUGCUGAGGCUGCUCUGGGCUCUGCCAGGGCUCUGCUGGAGCUCAGCACCGGGCCGCAAUCAGCCAAAGAAGAAAUGGUGUGACCUGCAGCACAGACUUGCUUGAGCAUUUCAGCAAUACAGCUCAAGUUUGCAGAGUGUACACCUCCCAGGGAAAACAUGCCACCACCCAAAAAUUAAACUUGUUCAAUAGCUUCUGAAAUGAAA